UCUGCACUCGUUGCAGGCGACGAUGCAGAGGGCUGUAAGUGUGGUGGCCCAUCUGGGCUCUCGCCUGCAGGCAUUCUCCCCGGCCUUGUGUCGUCCAUUUAGUUGCGCACAGGUGGGAUAGAGGGUGCUGGUCUUGGAGGGUGGGGGAGGGAAGCGGCUGGGGGCUAGGGCCCUGGUGGCACUAAGCCCAGCCGCCCGCAGGAGGUGCUCCGCCGGACACCGCUGUAUGACUUCCACCUGGCCCACGGCGGGAAAAUGGUGGCGUUUGCGGGUUGGAGUCUGCCAGUGCAGUACCGGGACAGUCACACUGACUCGCACCUGCACACACGCCAGCACUGCUCGCUCUUUGACGUGUCUCAUAUGCUGCAGGUGAGCCAGGGGAGCACGCUGGCCGCCUGAUCAGGCCUUCCUCCCUGUUUACAGUGGUCCACUCCUUGGCUUUGUUUGCUGUGAACUGGAUUCCAAGGACAGCCUUCCCAGAAGAGCUAGAGGUCAUGGGGGUGUCAUGGAUAGGUCAAUGGCCCCAAGGAAAUGAGCUCAGAGGGUCUCAUCAUCUCAUCCUUCUAGCUUGCCCCCACUAAGUGGUGUGCCUUAAUGUCCCGGGUUUUCCAGGGCUGACACCCACUCUCAUGUAUUGGGCUGCGUGUUGGUUUGAAAAGGGGUUAUUUCAGGAAGGUGCUAGGUCCUGUCCAGUUCCCUGGCAGUGCCCCCACACAGAGUGACUGGGGGAGGUCAGGAAAUCAGAAGGUGGUCCUUUGCCACGUGUAGAACCAAAAGACUGGUUAGUCACUUUGGGUGGGCUGGACUGCACCGUGGAUGGCAGGGAGGAUGCAUCCUUGCUUAGUGGCCUUUUGGAUUGUAGCUGUUGCAAUGGCCUGAGGCUUUCAAUCUCUUCCCCAGACCAAGAUACUUGGUAGUGACCGGGUGAAGCUGAUGGAGAGUCUAGUGGUUGGAGACAUUGCAGAGCUAAGACCAAACCAGGUGGGCCCUUUUAUUUCUGCUCUAUGAGUUUUCUUAGUCAUGAGCCAGCAAAUGGGCUGAGUCCCUACCUCAAGCUUAGGGGCACAGAGAUGAGUCAAACACAGCUUCUCAGGGCUUGCAGUCUUGGACAGAAUCCCUGAGUCAUUUCCAGAGACACAGACAUUUGUAGGGAGGGGAAUAUCCCAGCCUUACUACAUCAGGCUAGGAGGCCAGAAACCAAGGUUAAUAUGCUGCUCUCUGGCCAUCCCUUCUGCUUAACCCCUCUCUAUUCAACAUGUAGUCCCUGGCCAGGCGACGUGACUCAAACACCUGUAAUCCCGGCACUUGGGGAGGCCAAGGCGGGUGGAUCACCUGAGGUCAGGAGUUCGAGACCAGCCUGGCCAACGUGGCAAAACCUCGUUUCUACUAAAAAUACAAAAAUUAGCCGGGCGUGGUGGCGCACGCUUGUAGUCCCAGCUACUUGGGAGGCUGAGGUUGCAGCAAGCUGAGGUUGCACCACUGCGCUCUGGCCUGGGCAACAGAGCGAGACUCAGUUUAAAAAGAAAAAUAACAACAACAAAGUGUGGUCUCUAAACCAGCAUCUUUGGAGCUUGUUAGGAAUAUACUCUCAGGCGCUGCUCCAGACCUGCUGAAUCAGAACCUUCAUUUUAACAAAAUCCCCAGGUGAUUCAUGUGACCCCCUCAACCUCAGGCUUUUUGUCCAUCCAGUGGGGAGGCUAAGGAAGUUUUUUGGGGGCAUUGCUGUGGAGUACUUAGGAGAGCCUGGGAUCAUCAAGAUGACCUUUGAAGCUUUUGUCCUGUGGGUUGGCACAUGGGCUGAGUCGUCCCAGGUUUGGGUAGGUGAAGCAGCAGGUCCUAGGUGUCAUAGAUUAAGCAUCAGAUGGGACUCUCAGUACAGAGUGGGGAGGGGUGCAGAGGUCUCACCAGAUCAGGGAAGCACCCCAAGGUAGGGAGAGGAUGAAAACUUACUUGGUGCAUGAGGAUCAAAGACCUUGGACUUGGGCCCAGACUUGUACCUUGUACACCCUGAGUCCUUCACAUUAGGGUUCAUAACCUUUUGGCAGCUAAGUGGGUCCAGGGUUAUGUCUGGCUCACCCUUGGCCUUGCCCUCCUGGACCUGGAAGCCAAAACGCUCCACUUUGGUCCUAGGGGACACUGUCGCUGUUUACCAACGAGGCUGGAGGCAUCUUAGAUGACUUGAUUGUAACCAGUACUUCUGAGGGCCACCUGUAUGUGGUGUCCAACGCUGGCUGCUGGGAGAAAGAUUUGGCCCUCAUGCAGGUAUACCCCCUCUGUGUUCUAGGCACCUUGUCUUCCUUGUUCAUAGAGCAGCAUCCUUGUUAUCCAAGACAGGGUUGGCACAGACAAAGGACCUGGAAAAUGGCUCUUUCAGUGAAUGAACAGCUAUGAGACUCAAGAGCAGGCCCUCUCUGGAGCAUGCCAGGGUUUGGUGGUGGGGGAUUACCAGGCAUGGGGAGGGGGUCUUGGCCCCUCUGGUGUGAGGUGGCAGACCUGGGCUUGGGUCAUCUCUAUCACUUAGUAGCUAUGUGACCUUGUAAGAUGGGAACCAGCCUACUACCUUUUUUUCCUCCCUCCUCCUCCUCCUCUCCACUGUCUUACUACUGUCCAGCUCUGCAGCGUCCAGCCCAUGGUAGCUGCUCAGUAAGUGGCCCCAGAUGCUCUUGUGUUUCUGUCUUUUAGGACAAGGUCAGGGAGCUUCAGAACCAGGGCAGAGAUGUGGGCCUGGAGGUGUUGGAUAAUGCCCUGCUAGCUCUGCAAGGUGAGAGGGCUGGGCUGGGGUUGGAGCCAACCUUUGCCUUCCUGGCUUUAUUGACUGCUUAGCACAGAGGCCAUACCAAGAAGAAGGUGUGGAAGGUGUGAUAUUUGUGUGCCAUAAUUUUAAGUUUGGUAUCUUGCCCUCCUCCUACCUACCACAAGGCUCCAUGGGCUAGAGACAAGGGCAUCUUCUCCCACUUGCAGAGUAAGACGUGCUCAGGGCUUGUUCUAGUCCCUGAAUAAGGCUUUAGUCCAGGUUUGAGGGAUGCUGGGACCUGGAUACUUGGUCACUGGCUCCCUGGGCCCAGGCCCCACUGCAGCCCAGGUACUACAGGCCGGCGUGGCAGAUGACCUGAGGAAACUGCCCUUCAUGACCAGUGCUGUGAUGGAGGUGUUUGGCGUGUCUGGCUGCCGUGUGACCCGCUGUGGCUACACAGGAGAGGAUGGUGUGGAGGUGUGUCAAGAAGUGGUGUAGGGGGCAGUACAGGGCACAAGAUGCAUGUGAGGGGUUGGGGGUAUGUGGUACAGGGAGCUUCCCAUCUGCCCUCUGGUGUUUCAUACAGAUCUCGGUGCCGGUAGCGGGGGCAGUUCACCUGGCAACAGCUCUUCUGAAAAACCCAGAGGUGAAGCUGGCAGGGCUGGCAGCCAGGGACAGCCUGCGCCUGGAGGCAGGCCUCUGCCUGUACGGGAAUGACAUUGAUGAACACACUACACCUGUGGAGGGCAGCCUCAGUUGGACACUGGGUGAGCUGGGCCAGCACUCAAGGAUAGGGUCCUGGAGGUUGGGGUGACGCUUAAUAAGACUAGCCAGCCCAUGACUCCUCCAAAGGUUAUGUAGCCUGGAGCCUUCCUGAGCCUCCCUUCCCUGAAGGUGCCACUGUGGCUUUGCCCAUUAGAAACUGAAGAUGUUGGCCGGAUGCGGUGGCUCACACCUGUAAUCCCAGCACUUUGGGAGGCCAAGGCGGGUAGAUCACGAGGUCAGGAAUUCGAGAAUAGCCUGGCCAACAUGGUGAGACCCUGUC
rnacentral:sRNA from 1 species